rnacentral:sRNA from 12 species
CGGCCUGCCGCAGGCCGGAAAUCAUGCGGCGGCCGGGCAAGGGCCCGGCUUUGGAAAGG